GGCACUAUAGCCAAGUGGUUAAGGCGACAGAUUAGAAAUCUGUUACUCUCUGAGUGCGCAGGUUCAAAUCCUGCUGGUGUCG
rnacentral:tRNA from 1 species